rnacentral:sRNA from 1 species
GCCAGGUGUGGUGGUGCACGCCUGUAAUCCCAGCAGCUUGGGAGGCUGAGGCAGACGAACCUUGAGUUCAAAGCCAGCCUCAGU